GUCAGAGAGGAGGAGGAGUCAGAGAGGAAGAGGAGUCAGAGAGGAGGAGUCAGAGAGGAAGAGGAGUCAGAGAGGAGGGGUCGGAGUUCUGUUAAAGUUCUGGUCAGAACUGUGGUUUAAAUAUAAAAUACUUUUCUCAGACAGAGCGUGGUUCUGUUCCGUCCUACUGACCAGGCUAA